rnacentral:SRP_RNA from 1 species
GCCGGGCAUGAUGGUGCGUGCCUGUAGUCCCAGCUACUUAGGAGGCUGAGGCUGAGGCUGGAGGAUCGCUUGAGUCCAGGAGUUCUGAGCUGUCAUGUGCUAUGCCGAUAGGGUGUCCGCACUAAGUUCAGCAUCAGUAUGGUGACCUCCUAGGAGCAGGGGACCACCAGGUUGCCUAAGGAGGGGUGAACUGGCCCAGGAAAUGGAGCCAGUCAGAACUCCUGUGCUGAUCAGUAGUGGGAUAGUGCCUGUCAAUAGCCACUGCACUCCAGCCUGGGCAACAUAGGGAGACCCCAUCUCU